rnacentral:lncRNA from 1 species
AAAACAACAGCAAAAUGGACUAUCUUCUGAGUGAAGCUACUGUAGAUAUUUGUAUAAUCUGUGGAAUUAUGGCAUCUGGGAACCUGAUAAGUAGCUGAGGUCCACCAGCUGGUAAAAGGACACAGACAGCUGAGAUCAGUUGGGACUUGAAGCCUACUGCUAACCAGCUAAGGGUCUGAAGGUGAAGAUCACAACUUGUCUGACCAAGUACAGUUUCCAUGGCAGUAGCAGUGCCCUAACAUAGAAACCACCUCUCUAGUGCACACCUAAAAUAAAUUCCAAAAUACUCUUUCCUGAAAAUUGGUG